CCUACGGUGUGCAGCAGUGGGGAAUAUUGGGCAAUGGGCGCAAGCCUGACCCAGCAACGCCUCGUGAAGGAAGAAGGCUUUCGGGUCGUACACUUCUAUUGACAGGGAAGAGCAGAAGACGGUACCUGUCGAAUAAGCCACGGCUAACUACUUGCCAGCAGCCGCGGUAAUACGUAGGUGGCAAGCGUUGUCCGGAUUUAAUGGGUGUAAAGGGCGUGUAGCCGGGCUGACAAGUCAGAUGUGAAUUCCUGGCGCUCAACCCUCGAACUGCAAUUGAAACUGUGGGUCUUGAGUAUCGGAGAGGCAGGUGGAAUUCCUGGUGUAGCGGUGAAAGGCGUAGAUAUUAGGAGGAACACCAGUGGCGAAGGCGGCCUGCUGGACGACAACUGACGUUGAGGCGCGAAAGCGUGGGGAGCAAACAGGAUUAGAUACCCGUGUAGUC
rnacentral:rRNA from 1 species